CGGCGGCGGCAGGGGGUGUUCCGCCGGUGACGUCGGCGCCGAUGACGUCGUUGGCGGCGCCGAUCGAGUCGGCUCCGACGUC
rnacentral:tRNA from 1 species